rnacentral:rRNA from 1 species
UGUUGGGAAAGCCUUUGCGGCAUGGGAUGGGGUCGCGUCCUAUCAGCUUGAUGGCGGGGUAACGGCCCACCAUGGCUUCGACGGGUAGCCGGCCUGAGAGGGCGACCGGCCACAUUGGGACUGAGAUACGGCCCAGACUCCUACGGGAGGCAGCAGUGGGGAAUAUUGCACAAUGGGCGCAAGCCUGAUGCAGCGACGCCGCGUGAGGGAUGGAGGCCUUCGGGUUGUAAACCUCUUUUGUUAGGGAGCAAGGCAUUUUGUGUUGAGUGUACCUUUCGAAUAAGCACCGGCUAACUACGUGCCAGCAGCCGCGGUAAUACGUAGGGUGCAAGCGUUAUCCGGAAUUAUUGGGCGUAAAGGGCUCGUAGGCGGUUCGUCGCGUCCGGUGUGAAAGUCCAUCGCUUAACGGUGGAUCCGCGCCGGGUACGGGCGGGCUUGAGUGCGGUAGGGGAGACUGGAAUUCCCGGUGUAACGGUGGAAUGUGUAGAUAUCGGAAAA